rnacentral:rRNA from 1 species
GGCCUUUUGAUUAUAAUUUAAGGUCGGGCCUGCCCAAUGAAAAAUUUAAUGGCCGCGGUAUAUUAACUGUGCAAAGGUAGCAUAAUCAUUAGUUUUUUAAUUGAAAGCUGGAAUGAAGGGUUUAAUGAAAAAAGUUCUGUCUUUAUUUAAAUUUAUUAAAAUUUUAUUUUUAAGUUAAAAAGCUUAAAUAAUUAUUGAAGACGAGAAGACCCUAUAGAGUUUUAUAUUUUAAAAGAUUGUUGUAUUUGGUAAAUUUUAACUUAAUUUUUAAAAGUAUUUAAUUGGGGUGAUUGAAAAAUUAAAAGAACUUUUUUUUAUUGAAACAUAAAUGCAUGAAUGGAUGAUCCUUUUUUUAGAUUAAAAGAGCAAAUUACCUUAGGGAUAACAGCGUAAUUUUUUUUAGAGUUCUUAUCAAAAAAAAAGAUUGCGACCUCGAUGUUGGAUUAAAAUAAGUUUUUGGUGCAGAAGCUGAAAAACUAGGUCUGUUCGACCUUUAAAUUUUUACAUGAUCUGAGUUUAGACCGGUUUGAG